ensembl:lncRNA
CCUGGUCUCAUAGUGGCGGCAGAUGUGUGAACCUCAUGAUGUGAAUGAUCUCCGGCAGCACCUGGUACUCCCAUGGAUAAAUGUGGUGCAUUAAAAGGACGAUGGCAGGAGAUUCUCGGAAAAAGAUUUACAGCUAUCAAUCACGCCUUAAUGCCCUGAAUCAGAGAUGUGAAGGGCGACCUCAUUAACGAGGAACCAAUCAAGAUUUGACAGUGAAGCUUAUACACAGAACUCUGAAAGAGAAUGAUGACCCCUGGGAAGAGAAUUUGGCUGCCCUUG